UUCCGGUUGAUCCUGCCGGAGGUCACUGCUAUUGGGGUUCGACUAAGCCAUGCAAGUGCGACUGGUGCUGUGCGCGACCAGGGCGGACGGCUCAGUAACACGUGGGCAACCUACCCUCAGGUAAGGGAUAACCCCGGGAAACUGGGGAUAAUACCUGAUAGGUAAAGAAUGCUGGAAGGAGUGCUUUGCCGAAAGCUCCGGCGCCUGAGGAUGGGCCUGCGGCCGAUUAGGUUAGUUGGCGGUGUAACGGACCACCAAGCCUAAGAUCGGUACGGGCACUGGGAGUGGGAGCCCGGAGAUGGGGGCUGAGAAAAGGCCCCAGGCCCUACGGGGCGCAGCAGGCGCGAAAACUCCGCAAUGCGCGAUAGCGUGAUCGGGGGAACUGAAGUCCUCAACUGUUUAGUGACAGCUCUUCCGGGUACUNAUGUGCUCUGAGAAUAAGAGCGGGGUAAGACCGGUGCCAGCCGCCGCGGUAACACCGGCCGCUCAAGUGGUGGCCACUAUUAUUGGGCCUAAAGCGUUCGUAGCCGGUCCGUUAAGUCCCUUGGGAAAUCCGCUCGAUUAACGAAUGGGAUCCAGGGGAUACUGGUGGACUAGGGGGCGAGAGAAGUCAGAGGUACUCCGGGGGUAGCGGUGAAAAGCUGUAAUCCUCGGGGGACCACCAGUGGCGAAGGCGUCUGACUAGAGCGCGCCCGACGGUGAUGGACGAAAGCCAGGGGAGCGAACGGGAUUAGAUACCCCGGUAGUCCUGGCCGUAAACGCUGCGGGCUAGGUGUUACGUCCUCUACGUGGGGAUGUAGUGCCGAAGAGAAGUUGAUAAGCCCGCCGCUUGGGAAGUAUUACCGCAAG
rnacentral:rRNA from 1 species